AGAAGUUGCUGCUGGAAAUAUUUAGCAUUGCUGGGGCUGGGGGGCUUGACACCCACAGGCUUAUAAUCCUUCCUGAGUUUCAUCCUAUCUCACAGGUUCUCCCCAACUUCAUGGCCUUUGCCUAUCUAGGAGCCUCAGACACAUAGACUGGACCAAGGCUGCAACCUCAUGAUGGGCAGGUGUAGGUCUAGCUCCUGCAUGAGCUCAACAUCUGGGCCUCUCUGAGCUGCACAGCUGAAGAAAGAAACAAGAUGUCUAUAGCCUCACCCACUUGAUAAGAGUUGGACUUUACAAUGGAUGCCCUUUUUUCCACUCCAGAGUAGUUAGAGGGACCAGCUAGAUGUCAGGGCUGGGAGAGAUGUUAGGCCCUCUAGGAAAAGAAAGCAAAGCCAGGCUGGCAUGUUCUCUCUGAGAUGACAAGAGUCCCCAUCCCCUUGUGAUGUCAUCAUACUAUCCUGUUGUCCUGAAAUGAUGAAUUCGACAAAGGAAUUCCAAUCCAUGGCCACUGCUUGGAACUAGACAGGAACAUUCCUCCAGCCUCCAUAAUCCUUCCCUUCCCCUACUCUGAGGAAUCUUCUCACCUUUCAUUAGACUCUAAGUUCCUUGGAGAGUCAGUACUCACAGGGAGUACUUUUAGGAUCAACACUUGGGGUUGGGAGAAGAGGGAAGCAGGAUUGGGUAGAAGAAGAAGCUGGGCUGCAAUGAAGUCCCAAUGAAGACCUCAGCUGACCUUGCAUGGAGCCAGCAUCCCAUCCAGGAUACCUGUUACAUUUACUUGUCAUAUCUCCUCAAGCUUCUCUUGGCUAUGACAGUUUUUUAGACUUUCCUUGAUUUUGAUGACCUUGACAGUUUUGAGGAGUUCUGGGCCCGAUAUUGCAGGAUGCCUCCUUAUUGAAAUUUGUCUGAUGUUUCCUCAUGAUUAGAUUGGGGUUGUGAGUUUUGGGGGGAAGGUAACAGAGGAAAAGUGUCAUCUUCAUCACAUUGUAUUAAAGGUACAUAUUAGUGACAUGA